GACGAACGCUGGCGGCGUGCUUAACACAUGCAAGUCGAACGGAAAGGCCUUUUCGGAGGUACUCGAGUGGCGAACGGGUGAGUAACACGUGGGUGAUCUGCCCUGCACUCUGGGAUAAGCCUGGGAAACUGGGUCUAAUACCGGAUAGGACCGCACUUUAGUGUGUGUGGUGGAAAGUUUUUUCGGUGUAGGAUGAGCCCGCGGCCUAUCAGCUUGUUGGUGGGGUAAUGGCCUACCAAGGCGGCGACGGGUAGCCGGACUGAGAGGUUGGUCGGCCACAUUGGGACUGAGAUACGGCCCAGACUCCUACGGGAGGCAGCAGUGGGGAAUAUUGCACAAUGGGCGCGAGCCUGAUGCAGCGACGCCGCGUGGGGGAUGACGGCCUUCGGGUUGUAAACUCCUUUCGCCAGGGACGAAGCGUUUUGUGACGGUACCUGGAGAAGAAGCACCGGCUAACUACGUG
rnacentral:rRNA from 1 species